GUUACCAGGGAGCCAUAGCAGAAGCAAGCCACUUUCCCACUGUGCUCACUUGUCUGGUCCAGUGGCUGUCCUAACGAGACCUCAUUAAAGAAGCCAUUCUAAGACUCAGCGUUCACAUAUGAAAGGGAUCCCAUGCUACCAGGAAUUGCUGGGUUAAGAUGAUCCUGGACUCUUAAAAAUUCUGGGAAACAUCCAUAGAAGCUUGGUUUUUUCCAUCUUCUGUCUUGGGCUCAUUCCAACUUCGCUACAAUCUACUUGCCCAUUUACCUUUGGAAGCUUCCAUGUUCUGGAUCAUGAAUGCUAUCAACAUCCACAGAGUUCGUGGGGGAGUCAUGUCAAUAAGAUACAUGUGUAUAGUGGCCACCUCCUCCCACAAGAACAGCCAAGCAAAGAACCAACUGUCACAUUCGGACAAAACAACUAAAGGACAGUACCCAUGAACAUCAGAGGACUGGAACCACCUUGGACUCUUACAGGCUUGUCAAUAAGGGAACCUCUGUAGCCCUCAUAGGCAGUUGGCCCAGCAGAGAAAGCUGCCUGGGAUCUAACAGAUCCACUGUCUCCAAAGGAGGAGUUGGUGGUGUGCCCUGCAUCCCAUGGACAGUGUGGUUACAAUUCGGUGGCACCUUGGAACCAGAGCCCUAUUCUGGAGAUAGGAACGAUGGCAUACCUCCACCUCUGAGAAUUCAUCACUAUAGAAACAACCCCACCUGGUGGCCACCAUUCCUGCCACCAAACCACUACUUCACCAUAUUGCUUGUUGCUAAACUGCAUAGUCACUGCACUCCCAGCUGCUGUCACUCUUCGCCUGCCUUAGAUACAGUGGUGCCGAGCACCAAAAGUCUCCAACUGUAAAAUGGACUAACUCGAUUCUGUGUAAUUCUGCCGAAGUUCCUUCAUCUAGUUGAAUGCCCUACUGCUAAGCAACUAUGUAUGAAUUGUUAUGUAUUCUUCAUGAACUGACCCCCUUGUCAUUGUUCAAUUCUGUCUUCACACCUAACUUGCCUUACUCAGAACUUGCCUUGUCUGAAAUUAAUACAGAGGUGUAGAAGUUUGCUUAAAAAUUUUAUCUCCUCUAGAGAUACACAACUGACCACUGGGCAGAGCUCCUGAAAUCCAGUCCAAGAGAGGGAGGAGUGAUAACAGGAGCAAAGAGGUCAAGACCAUGUUGGGGAAAUCCACAGAAACAGCUGACCUGAGCUGGUGGGAGUUCAAUGACUCUGGACUGACAGCUGGGGAACCUGCAGAGGCUGACUUACUCUUGAAUACUGUGGUGGUUUAAAAGAAAAUGUCCCCCAAAGGAAGUGGCACUAAUGGGAGGUGUGGCCUUGUUGUAGUAGGUGUGGCCUUACUGGAGGAAGUGCAUCACUGUGGGUGCUGGCUUUGAGUUCUAUGCUCAAGCCAUGCCCAAUGAUACAGUUCACUUCCUGUUGCCUGUAUAUCAAUAUGUAGAAGUCUCAGCUCCCUCUCCAGCACUGUGUCUGCCUGCAUGCCGCCAUGCCAUGCCAUGAUGAUAAUGGACAAAACCUCUGAAACUGAGGAGAGGCGACCUGAAGGCAAGAUUCCGUUCUUCACUGUGUAGGCAAAGGAUGCCGGAGUAAUGAAUGAACAAGCAUACAGAGCUGGUUUUCUUCUAAUUUUUGUUAUGGAUAUGCAAAUUCAAUUUUGUGUGUAUUAAAGUAGCAAGAAUCAUUUUUGCAUCGCCAAAGAAGCCAUGUGUUAGUCCUUUGAAGAGGAAUUGUCUGAGUUGGAAUCGACCACCUUGGUCUUCAAAUGGCUAACGCCUGGAUUCAGGGUCCACUCCUGUACCUGUGUAACCUGACAUGAGCAUCCCAUUUGGAAUCUGGCAUUCCUUUACUCCCACCUGGCCCCAGGUCGCCUUCAUUUGGCACUGCUCAGGCCUGUGGCUGAGUGUCUUCUCUCUCACUGAGAACCAUGCUACCCUCGAUUUCCUCCCUACUCUCACCUCCUGACAAUAUUCUCCUAUUACAUCUUUGCUGCAGAGAGAAGGCCAGGCAAAAAGUGAACAUGUCCUCAUUCUUUCUUGUGAAAGAGCUAAAGGCUCCAUUCAGUCAGGUUGCCAUUUGUUUUCCCAAGAGAAAUGUUUUAUGUCACUAUGAUUAAUUUGACAAUUUGAUAGCUGACUGGUGAUUCUAUGGCACCCAGGAGCCUACUUUAUCAAUGGAAAAUAUUCAAAUUUCCCCUGGCAAUUAAAAAAGCUCCUUCUGGAAAAUUAGAUUCUAAACUUAGGGACCACAAAUCUGAAGCUGUCUUUUCUACCUAAAACUAUCUUUGAGACUUCCCAUAUAACCCCUGAAAAAUUACAAAUGCUGUUUAAUAUAUUUUCUGCCCUCCUCCCCCAAUAAGUUUCUCCGACAAUGAAAUAAGCCAGAUCAAGCUUGAAGAAGAAAAUAACAGGUAUAUUGAGUGAUGCAACUCCCGAGAGUGUUCUCCAGUCCCAGGGAUUGAGGCCAGAGAAGUUGUGCACCCAAACUAAAGCAGGGAGAUUUUAUGGAUUGCAGAGCUGCCAUGUGAUCUCGGGAAGAUGAUGAAUGCCACCAGCAUCCUCCAUAAG
rnacentral:lncRNA from 1 species